GCGGGGGUUCCCGAGCCAGGUCAAAGGGGCAGGACUUAAGAUCCUGUGGCGUAGGCCUUCGCGGGUUCAAGUCCCGCCCCCCGCACCA
rnacentral:tRNA from 1 species